rnacentral:sRNA from 12 species
UCCGGAGUGCCGGUAGCCAAGGUUGCCGGUAGAGAGACUUGUAAAUUCAGUAACCCACUGGCAGAGUAAAAUGACGUGAGGGGAUAAAGGCGUAUCUCAUGUUUCUGCUAGUUAAUUUACCCGGUUACCGGAACGUUUGUUUAAGUGCAUCCGUUCGGCUAAUUAAUAUAGCGGUUACUUUUUUG